GAUGAACGCUGGCGGCGUGCCUAAUACAUGCAAGUCGAGCGAACGGACGAGAAGCUUGCUUCUCUGAUGUUAGCGGCGGACGGGUGAGUAACACGUGGAUAACCUACCUAUAAGACUGGGAUGACUUCGGGAAACCGGAGCUAAUACCGGAUGAUAUUUUGAACCGCAUGGUUCAAAAGUGAAAGACGGUCUUGCUGUCACUUAUAGAUGGAUCCGCGCUGCAUUAGCUAGUUGGUAAGGUAACGGCUUACCAAGGCAACGAUGCAUAGCCGACCUGAGAGGGUGAUCGGCCACACUGGAACUGAGACACGGUCCAGACUCCUACGGGAGGCAGCAGUAGGGAAUCUUCCGCAAUGGGCGAAAGCCUGACGGAGCAACGCCGCGUGAGUGAUGAAGGUCUUCGGAUCGUAAAACUCUGUUAUUAGGGAAGAACAUAUGUGUAAGUAACUGUGCACAUCUUGACGGUACCUAAUCAGAAAGCCACGGCUAACUACGU
rnacentral:rRNA from 1 species